CUUGGCCAUUUCUAUGAUUAUGAAUCUAAUUUUCAUCUGUUAUCGAACUCAGAAAGGACUAUGUGGACAACAUGAAGCGACAAAAAGCAGCUCUUCACCAGCAAGACAAGAUGAUAUGAGCCAACCAGUUAAAGACAAAGCUGAAGGUGAUCUCAACUAUGCUGCGCUGCAUUUCUCUGCCAGAGGAAGAAAGAAGAAAGAGUUGAAUCCAGGAGAAUGUGUGUAUUCUCAUGUGAAAUACUGAAUGUAAAUGUGAGUCAAAAACUG